rnacentral:lncRNA from 1 species
CUUAGUCAAAUAGCUUGAAGAGUAGAAGUGACGCUUAAGUGGAGAGGGAUCCAGAUGGUGACACGUGUACAGUUAGAUGUGAGCCACGUGUCCAGAGGUGUAACCGUCAGGAGAGAGAAACGCUCAGGUAUAUAAGGAACUCUUAACAGACUUUUGAGGUACGCUUUCCAGAACACUUCAGUACGCUUCUUAGUACACUGAGAUUCACGGCGCACGGUUCCUUGAGUUUAGAUAUUCUCUCUGAGUUUUUGGUGAUUCCGUCACUGACUUGAGCGUCGGAGCGCGAUCGGCCGCAGCGGCGCCACUCUGUUUCUUUGUUUUCUUCAGGUUCUUGCGAGGAAUCGAGACGUGAAGAUCGAAGGUUAACGUGGUGCGAAGCUGAUCAAGAGAAGCAUCCUUGACGUGGCAAGACUCUUGCACUCAGGUCAACCGGCAGGAUCAAAAGGCAAAGAGGGUGAGUGUUCUUGUGUGGUCAAGAUCACCUCUUUGUUGUGUUGAGUGUUUGUAAUCUAUUGAUUGAUUGAUAGUGGAAUACUUAGUGGUUUUCUGGGAACUGGAUGUAGUCCUGGUAAGGAGUGAACCAGUAUAAAUUGAUUGUGUAAUCUCUCUCUCUCUCUCAUACACUCAUUACAAACUAUUUGAUGUGGUUUUUGUCUUUGCUGCUAUAAACAACCGGUUAAAACAAAAUUUCAACUGAUUGUUUUUCUGCAAACAGUUUUAACAACUUUGAUUUUUUGGCUUCCCUGAUUGUUGUUUCUAUGAUUGUUGAUAAAUCUUCAUUCUUAGCCAAUCUUUGCGAAAAUCUUUUGUCAAACAAUUCACCCCCUUCUUGUUUAGGCCAUUAUUUCUAACAGAUUGAUGCCCAUUGCAAAAGUAACAAGUCACUUGCUUUUACACAUAUGGAACUUAUUUAUAAAAUCUCUAAUCACAAUCAGAAAGGUUGGUUUACCAUUACUUGUUUGUUUUUAAAUGACUUACGUCUCAUUUCCCUCGUUGUUUAAAAGAAUAAUCUCUUCCCUAGAUGCUUAAGAUAAAGGAUCAAUUCAAUUAAUAAUUGGCCUUACACACAAAUAUCUUUGUCUUAAAAAAAUAUUUUAUUCCAUAUCUCGCAAAGGAAUACUUACAAAGAGAUUUUCAACCACAUAAUUGUAUAAUUGGUCAUCUCAAUAAUAAUAAAUCCUAACUCCAUAAUUUUGUUUGAUUGAUCUCAAAGUAAUACACUAUAAAUUAGUAGUGAAUUUUGUCUCACUUGAACCAAAGUUCCGAUUAACAUUAUUGUAUUUUUAAAUACAAUUUAGAUAUUUUUCAAGCUAUGAAGUUUUAUACCAUAUGGAUGACAUCAUAUUGACAUCAUAGCCUAGAAAGUCACUCUAUCUUUGAUAUAUGCCAAUAAUAAUUGCUUUCAAAGCCAUGUUAAGAAAAAUUAUAUCUCAAAUAGUCCAUAUAGAUUUUUAUUUAUAAUAAAAACAAAUACAAAUUGUUUUAUAACAAAGAAAUAUCAUUUUCAAAUUUUUCGUGGAAGGCCAAAGUGAUUGUUAGUAUAUCCAUAAUAAAAAUUGGAGUGAUUUAACUAAAACAACAAAAAUGAAAAUGUAUUAUUGAUAAGUGUCAAAUUUCAGUAAUAUUUCAUAUUAAAAUGCAGACACUUAUGAAUAUUAAUUGAUAAAAUAACCCCUAAUUUAUGAAUUUAUACAUUUUUCCCAAAUUUGUGUUAAUUUCAGGAUUCUAAAGAAUAAUGGAGAUGGAAGGGCAAAAGGAGAAUUUACAAAGCCAAAAAGGGAAAGCUGGAAUGCAACAAAGCUCGCCCAAGCCAGAUGCCCUAGAGGAUCUCGCCUAAUUGAGCCCUAUCUCCUGUAGGCGAGAUCACUCCAAUGACAUUGGACCUUUUUUUUCGUGCACUUGCCUACGCCUAAGACAGAAGUUACUUAGCCCAAGCCCAACUAGGUUAAAUGUGAGGCUUGAGCCACAACCUUAUGAAAUAACCAUUGAGAGGAAAAUAAUCAUUGAGUGGAUUGCAAGCUAGUUGUUUAAUAAAAGGUGUUAGAAACCCUCGAGGAGGCAAUCGUCAAGGAGAAACAUUUUGAAUCUUUUUUACUUGCUCUCCAUGCUUGUAACAACUAACAUGUGUGGCUAAUUCUACCCUUUGGGAUUGAGAGUAAUAUGUUCAAACUCUUAUGUAUUGAGGUGAUAUUUAAAUAUAAUAUUAUGUUCUUAAUUGAUGAUUGGUAUUAUCAUUUUGUUUGUAAUGCUUGUUUACCAUGAUCAAGAUCCUUAGAUUUGACUGGAAAGCACUUUUAAGUUUCUGACUGAAAUGAUAAUGAUUAACAUAUUUGAAUGCUAGGAAUAAAUUUGAAAUAUUAAUUACUAUCAAGGUCUAUUCGUAAUGAUAAGAUGUUUUUAUAAAUAUGUGAGGAAUCGAUAUUUAGAAGACUCCUUAAUAAAUUUAUAUGCGAGAAAUCAAUAUAAAUGAUUUUUAUACAGACAUCAAUAUCAAUCUAAGGAUAAAAUAUUAUCAUGCUCAUCAAAAUACAAAAGAGUAAGAAGGGUGAACCACAAUCCCAAUUUUCUCAAUUGAAUCAACUAACUCUUUACUUUGUUUUUAGUUAAAUUUCAUGCAAACUAUUGUCAAUAUCAAAUCAAAUCAAAUUAUUAUACAUAUUCUUAUUCUUAGUGAAUGUUACUAUUAGGAUUUUAAACAAUUAUUCCUUGUGGUUUCGAUAUCCGUCCUUAGGGACAAAGUAUUACUUCUGACUCUGCACACUUGCUCUGAAAAGAGUCAUCAAUUUUUUGGCGCCGUUGCCGGGGAACAAUUGAAUUUUUUAGUACAAAUUUGUAAAUAUUGUAAAUAUUCUAACUAUUUUUAUUUGUUGUUUAUUUUUUUUUUUGCAUAUUUGUUUUUAUUUUAUUUUCAUAUUUAAUUUAAAUUUAUUUUAUUAUAUUUAUUUUAAUUUUUAAAUCUUAAAAAAAUAUUAUUCAGUUAUUGCUAGUGAAUCCCUGUGCUAACCCUUGAAUUAGCUGUCUUAUAUGAUAUUGAGAGGUCAAAUUCCCAAAGACCAAUUAUUAUUUGAAGUAGAGAUUGAAAGGGUAGCUAGAAGAAAUAGAAAGACAAAGACAAAAGAGAGACAAGAAGAUACUAGGGAGGAAUCCUCAACCACUUCUUCUUUUGCCACAAAUAUUUUUCAAGAGGAUAGCAACAUGGCAAAAGGGCAAGCACCACACCCUAGGAGAACUCUUGAAGAUUAUGCAGUGUAGCAAAGGCCAAGACAUUUUUCUAGUAUUUCAAUACCUGUUAUCACCAGGGCCUUGGAGAUUAAACUCGCUUUCCUUACUCUCAUCAGUACCCAUCAAUUUAUAACAAUGGAUCAUGAAGAUAUAUUCACAUUUGUCUACAUUUUAUGAAUUGGUGGUAACAAUGAGCUUCCAUUUAGAUGAUGUUAAAAAUGUCUAUAUGCAUUUAUUUUCUUUUUCGUUGGCAAGAAAGGGAAAAGAAUGGCUCACAUCACAGCCAAAUCAGAACCUCUCUAGCUGGAGGGAUGUAGAGGAAAAGUUUCUGCACAAAUUUUUUCCAUUAUCUCACUACAUCAAAGCAAAGUCUGAAACCUUUAUGUUCAGACAUGACAGAGAUUUAAAAUGAUACUGAGAAAAUGCCCAAAUCAUGGGUUUGAAGGCAUUGCUGAAAUGAGCAUUUUUCAUAAUGGUCUCAGAUCUGAUACUAAGAUGCAUCUAGAUGCUGCAGUUGGUGGUACAAUGAUGGCAAUGGAUGCAGGAAAAGCAGAAAAGAUUAUUGAGGCAAUGACAUCCACAUAUUAUCAAUCACAAAAUGAUAGUAAAAAUGAUCCAAAGAAGGGCAUAAUGGAUCAUAAUAUUUCAAAAAAACAUUUGGCCCAAAUUAAAAUUCUAACACAACCGUUGGAAGCAUUAACUACACAAAUGGCUAAAUUGCCACAACAAUUACAAGUUGUGCAAGCUUCUUAGAGUCAGAUUCAACCAAUAAGGUGUGAUUUGUGUGGAGCUUAUCAUUCCAAUGGGCAUUGUGUGUAUUAGAAUAAUUCAUCUGAAGAAGAAGCUCAUUAUAUGGGAAAUCAAGGAAGGCAAGGUGGGUUCUCCAAAAAAAAUUCUCAAGGUUGAAAAAAAGAAGAGGAAGAGAAAAAAAUUUAGGAAAGAAAAAUUGAGAGUGAAAAGGAAAAAGAAGAGGAAAAAUAAAAAAAAAUAAUCAUUGAAUGGAUUGGAAUCCAAUUGGGAGAAUAAAAGGUGUUAGAAAACUCUAGAGGAGACAACCAUAAAGGAGAAACUUCCUGGAUCUUCCUUUCUUGCUCUCCAUGCUUGUAACAACCAACAUGUGUGGCUAAUUCUACCAUUUGAGAUUGGGAGUAAUAUAUUCAAAAUCUUAUGUAUUGAGGUGAUAUUUAAAUAUAAUAUUUUGUUCUUUAUUGAUGAUUGGUAUUAUUGUUUUGUUUGUAAUGCUUGUUUACCAUGAUCAAGAUCAUUAGAUUUGAUUGGAAGGUACUUAUAAGUUUCUAACCCAAAAGAUAAUGCUUAACAUAUUUGAAUGCUAGGAAUAAAUCUGAAAUGUUAAUUUCUAUCAAUGUCUGUGCUUAAUGAUAAAAUGUUUUUACAAAUAUGCGAGGAAUCGAUAUUUACAAGAAUCUUUAAUAAUUUUAUAUGCAAGGAAUCGAAAUGAAUGAUUUUUAUAUGAGCAUCAAUAUCAAUCAAAUGAUAGAAUACUAUCAUGCUAAUCAAAAUACAAAAGAGUAAGAAGGAUGAACCCCAAUUCUUAUUUUCCCAGUUGAACCAACAAACUCUGUGAUUUGUUUUCUUAUCAAUCAUUGCAAUCAUAACAAACUCGAACAAAAUUUAUUAUUUUAUUUUCUAUUUAGUGAAUCUUUUACUUGAUUAUUCAACUGUUCAUCGUGGGUUCGAUAUUCGUCCUUAGACACAAAUUAUUACUUCUGACAACACAGCGCACUUGCUGUAGAAAAUGCAUCACUUAUCCAAGCCAAUAAUGUAUAAUAAUAUGGGACUUAGGACUUUUGUAAUACUCAAAUACAACAUUAUCAGAACAAAAAAAAAAAAAUUCUAGAUGUGUAAUUAUGUAUACACAAAGAAACUAUCAUGUUUUACAAGAAAAAAAUGAGAUAUAUAUAUAUAUAUAUAUAGUUUCCUUCAUAUAGGGAUAUAUAUUGUUGUGCACAACAUGUCAAAAUGAGCCUAGGGAUAGUGAAGGAAUGAGUGCAACAUUGGGUACAAAAACACACCUUUUGGAGACGAACAAACAAAGAACACACAAAGAAAUGUCACAAGAAUGAAUUUUAUUGUUUAUUACAUUGGGUGAAUGUACAUCAUCUUCUACUAGGUAGGUAUGAGACAAUUAUAUACAUACAUACAACUAUAUACACCAACUAAUAAUCAUAAACAUCACUAAACUUUCUAAUGUAAUAGACACUGCUGAUAAGUAACAUGCUUGUUUAGAUAAUCUAUGCAAUUAGACUCUAGAUGCUCUCAUCCUAACAAGAAAUUCAAUACACAAGAUCUUACAAACUAAACAUUGGAGUGCAUCUGCUUUCUACUUGCAUUAUAACAAACAAAACUUAUUAAGUGGUCAUUUUUAUACUAGUUUUGGUAAAUAAUAUUUGGGAUGUUGGUUUGCAAUUGUUUUAAACUAUUUUUUUGUAAAUUCUGCAUCAUUUUGUUGUGUAUGGUUUAAUGUUUGCAGAAACUAUAGUUCUACUUAAUCUGUGUUUGGAUAUCCUACUAUGCUUGUAUAUUGUGGAUUGCUUGGUCUAUCCUUCUAUUUUGAACAAGGAAGCUUUGAUGAUGUCUAAAUUUGUCUUGAAGAUCUAGUGUUGUUGUGCAUGUGUUCCUAGUUAGGUAGAUUGUCUUGUAAAUUCUCAUCUCAUUAUGAUCCAAGUAAACCUGAUUUGAAAUCUCUUUUAAAUGUUUUUUUCCAAAUAUGUGUUUAAUUUAAUAAGUUGAUUCUUAUAUUAAUCAGUUGAAAUUACUUUUAUGCAGUCUCUUCAAAAUUUAAUAAUUUAAUAUGUGCUGACUUAAAAGAUUGUGAAAACUGUGACUCCCUCCAAAAGAAUGUUCAUUAUCUUUUGAAAACCUUGAACAAAUUCUGAAGAGGGCAGUCAAAUUUUGAAACUGUUCUUGCCUAUCAAAAUUGUGUUUUUGGCAAAGCUGGUCUAGGUUACAACCCAAGCACUAAGAAUAAAAUAUUUUACAAGUUUUUUUUGAAAACAAGAAAUCAGUGUAUAAACCUAUCAUAGCCUACUCUUUUUUCUUUGAACAAGGUUACACUACUAGAUUCUGUAGGGUUAGAAAAUUUGAUAUGCUUGAGGGUCUUGUUAAGUUGGUGCCUAAGAGUUCAAUUAAUAUCAUUGGGCCCAAAUUUAUAAGGGACCAAAUCUUGAUCCAUGAUUGUUUUGGCAUGAAUCAUUCACAAUAAAACAACACCUACGGUACUUGGACAAUGACUCUUCAAAGGAUAUUGUUUAGAGAGAAGAAGACGCUUGUGAAUCUACACCUUAAAUGUGAUGAUGUUUUUACAAAUGGUUAACAAUAAUCAAAGAAGGAUCCUUGGAAGAAGUAGUAGAAAUGAACAAUAUUAAUGUCUCAUUUAAAAGAUUACUGUAUGAGUGAGAAACAAUCACAUAUUGUUUUCUACAUAUCAAGAGGUGAAGUUUAAUGUUGUUCAAAAAAAUAACUGGAUAAAUUUUUGGAUCAACUAAUUUAAAUCAAAGCAUUUUGUGCAAUAUUUUUUAAUCUUUUAAAAAUUCAUUUCAAUAGGUUGUUUGCAUCUCUGAUACUUAUUGUAUAUCUUCAAUAAAUAGCUUACGUGUACUUUGUGCCAAUUCCUCUUUUGAAUUUAAAUCAAUCAGCGAAUCAUGUAUUUGUAGUGUGCAUCAGAAUCUGAAUUUUUGUAAUAUGUAGCUAUUUUUCACAAAAUUGUGACUAAUUUCCUUAAAUCACACUAAAGGUGAGUGAAAUCAAUUUUAUUUUGAAACUGACAAAUGCAAUUUCCAAAACUGUGUCAGUUGCUUUUUUUGAAAAAUAACUCACCUAACCAUCUUUAUUGUAUCUAUCUUCUGUGCAUAUAUUGCUUGUGAAAAUUCUCAAUACGCAUCACUUAUCACGAAACACAAUUUCAUUCUAUUAUCUGCAUUUUCAAAAUAUUUGUAUCAUGGCCUUUUCAUGUUGUUCACCUUAGAGGAAGAAAUCUCGCAUUGCAAAGGGCUCAACCAAGGUUGGACACUUAGAAACGUGGUUCUCUGGAGAUAAUGAGAAAAUCAAAUUGUUUUUGUAGAAGAUGAUUAGAAAGUUCAUCAAUACUCUAAAACAUCUAGUAUCAAUUGGUUUAAAGAAUAAAUUCUCAAAGAUGUGAGAAAAGCACUGAAACACCAAAAAACUGCAAAUAUUUUUGGAUAUGAAUGGAAACAUCUUUCCUAACUUGGUGAAGGUUUUCUACACAAAUAUAACCUUUGAAGGAAGGAAAAUGUCUUCUCAUGUUAAAGGAGUAGACAUGGAAAUCACUCUGACGGGUCUGAAGUACUCAAGAGAAAAAGUGGACAAAGGAAACACCAAUGCCUUGGAGGACUUCAACAAAAUGCAAUACUACAUUGCUUCAUGGAUGCUGAGACCAAGGGGCGUCAACCAUGUUGUAUUAACUGAGCAAUAUUUGGUACUUUUGUACUGGAUAAUGAAGAAGAUUAAAGUGAACGGGAUAUAUGUCUUUAAGGAACAUAUGCUAAAAUCUAUAAGGUUAUGUGAUUAUCAUUUUCCUUAUGUCAUACUUCUUUAAAAAAAUUUGCAAUAUUUUGAGGAUAACCUUGAUGAAGAACUAUAUGAGGUGCUAAAAUCGUCUCAUGAGGUUAAUAAUGGUUCUUUGAUCAAAAUGAGGUUUCUAAAGGUAAAUGAUUAUUGGGUCAACAAAGAGGAUGAUUCUGAUGGUGCCUCUGCUCGAUCAAGUGCAACUGCAGGUCCUAGUGUUAGUGUUGGACCUAGUACCCGUAUUGAUGAGUUCUAUAACAUGCAAGCAUUAGUUGCUUAUGAAUCUCUGGUUGACCAUGGAAUUCCAAUGUCACGAUUCGAAAGGCUGAUGAUAAACCGCAUGGAUACAAUGGCAAAUGACCAAAAAGAACAUUAUGAAUUUUGUGCAGCAAGGUUCCAACAUUUGGACAAACAAAUUGAGGCUGUUCAAACUCAACUUGGAGAAUUUCAGUAUGGAAGGAAGAUAUAAAAAUGUAUCUGAUCCUGCCUGUUGACCGGAGCGCUGGAGAAUGCCUCGUCAAAGGAUCGACGUGCGCGCCGCUUCUCACUUCCGUUCCUCCUCUGGAUCUAUCUCAAGAACCUGCAAAGAAACGAUACGGCGCCGCUGCGGCCGAUCGCACUCCGACGCUCAAGUCAGUGACGGUAUCACCAAAUACUAAGAACUGGAACCGUGCAAACUCUCUCUCUCACAAACAGCUCUGUCACUCGCAAGCGUAAAGUGUAUGAACUGAACGUGUGUACCUCAGAAAGUUCGUUAAGAGCUCUUAUAUACCUGGUGAUUUUCUCUCUCCUGGCAGUUACAGACUUGGACACGUGGCUCGUAUCCAACUGUACACGUGCCAUCAUCUGGAGGCUCCCUGACUUGGCGCUGCUUUUACUCUCAUUUUGGCUAAGUUACCUAUGCAUGGUACUGCCCAGUGCAUAGCUAACUUAGGAGUGCGAUCCCUAAUGAAACUGGCGAGUUAGGGUCUUCAUACACCUUCCCUGUGGUCUCGCCGGCCGCCUUCAUAAUCUGCUUCUCCUUCAUCUUCGGCGAUGUGCUUGUUCUGGCGACUUCAUCCUCAACCUGGCGAUCGCCUAUUCUGGUAAGCUGGAGAUCGGAACACGCCAACUUAACAAUCGGCGACUACACGUGCCUCCCGACUUCCUUCCUAACUGCCAACCUGGCGCCUUGUCAACACGCCUACACUGUAGCAGGGUGCCACGUCAUCGCACCCGACCACCAGGGCGGUACAGUAUCAUAAUGUUUUUGUGGGUUAAAUUUGGAAAAUUUAUAUUUUGUGGUUUUAUAUGUGUUUUUCAGUUUUUAUAUUAGGUUAUAUUUUGCAUUCGACACCUUCCUUUGUCUAUUUGUUAAACACAAAAAGGGGAGAAUGUUUGGGAUGUUGGCUUGUAUUUGUUGUGCAUGGUUUGCAAAAAAUGUGGUUAUGCUUAAUCUAUGUUUAAAUAUCUUGUUAUGAUUGUAUAUUCUGGUUUGCUUGGUCUUCCCUUCUAUUUUGCAUGAUCUCCUUGUGUCAAAAUCUAUAACACAACAUCAGGGAUUUGUCUUCAUUAAAUAAGGGGAGAUUGUUGAAUAAGGAAGCUUUGAUGAUAUUCAAAUUUGUCUUGAAGAUCUGAUGUUGUUUUGUGUGUGUGUCUAGUUAGGUAGAUUUUGUCUUGUAAAUUCACAUCUCAUUAUGAUCAAAGUAAACCUGAUUUGAAAUCUCUUUUAAAUGUUUUGUUUCCAAAUUUGUAUUUAUUUUAAUUAGUUAAUUCGUAUAUUAAUCAGUUGAUAUUUGACAGUUGUCGUUUAGCAGUCAAAUUGAAUACGAUUCCAGCAUAGACCUGUCUAACGCUAUAUAGAUGAUAGUAUAGAAAUGGUCAAAUCACCCCAAGUCGUCUCCCAACGAAUCCAAUAGUGAGUCCAGUGAACAAAAUUCAAAACUUAUCUACAAGCAAUGAGGAUUAACAAUAACAAUAAAGCAUAAGGGGUUGUGAUUGUUAAGCAAGAAAAUAUAUAUGAUGAUUUAAAAAAGUAAAGAACGCAAGUUGACUCCCAAGAUAUCUCACCAUUGAAUUCCUCACAGGUUCUCUAAAGAUUAUUCCUUUCUCAAUCCUCAAACAGAGCUAAACCAGAUUGAACAUGCGUCAAUCUUAUUCAACUUGAAACUCACUAGUAAAGAAUGCGUCUACUAGUUUAAUCAAUACCCACUUUGUUCCAUGCGUAUAAUCCAUGGGAAUGCUUAUCUCCUGAUGUGAGUUGAUUUUAUGAUUGUUCAUUUAGGUGACACUUUAGAUUUAGAUUGAGAUUUGUAGGCAAUUAAGAGUGAAAACCUAAGGAAAAUCCCCACUAGACAUUAACUUAACCAAGUGGUUAAGUAGAUGUGAAAGUUCAUUUAACAAAAGCAAAGGAAAAAGAUAAUGAUAAGAUAAACAUGAUGCCAAGAUAAGGUGCGAAAUUAAACAAGGAAAGCAAGAACAAAAGGUACUAACCGAAUAGACAUAAUGAAAUCACAACAAGAACAUAUUUAUGAAUAGAAUGGAUGACAAUGGAAGGAAAAGAUGAAGGAAUAAGGAAGCUUAAGAGAGUGGAGUUUGAGAUAGGGAGCACACCACUUGAAGGAUGAAUUUACUCCAAGAUAAGUGUUGGAAGCCACCACUUGAGAUCUCUCAAAUUCUCACAAGAUAAGACUAAAGGCUAAGAGGAACAAGCCUCACUAGCACCUCACACAAAUUGUGCAGAGUAACUUUUAUUCUAUUCAAUUCAACUUGUAAAAUACACCAAGUAGGCCUCUUAUUUACAGGUGUAGGAGCCUUGGAGAACAAGCUAAAGGGGUAGGAUGGGAAAAGGGAAAAAAUGGGCAGCCUUAAGGUUUGACUAAGUCAAUCCCGCAUCCUAGGCUUGUUCUUCUAGAAACUAGGUCAAAAUGCCUUCCGAAAGGGCUAGGAACAAGCUAAAAUGACCCACACCCGCUAUUAUGCUAAAAGUACCUUAUUCUAGCCUAUAUUUGCUAUUUGGACCCCUAAAGUGAGCCAAAUUAUUUACAACAUAUUUUUAUCUUAUAAGAAGACCAAAGGGAAGAAUAGUUGGUGUGAUAGUUUAUGCUCAGGUUCUCUGGUGAGGUCCAUGUGAUCCUUGGUGGGUUUAUGAAUUGGUCGUUGAGAUGACAGUUCACCAUGUGCUUUGUCUUUUGUUUCCUUGGUCAUCUUCGUAGCUACUUGGGUUGUAUCAUGCCCCCCAAGUUCAAGAGAACUCGACCUUGAAUUCAGAACUUCUGCAGAUAGCAUAGUUAGUUUGUUCACAUAAAAGAUAGUGCAAUGAUAGGGAUAUGAACUCAACUUAUGUUUUUUAACUGUUGGGAGUGCAAAAGACGGGGUUCUAUUUACAGACCAAGUUUUAAAAUAAUGUUUGGGAAUGACAAAUCUUUGUGAUGAAAAUCCUCUUAAAAGGUGGAAAUGUUCAAAUCUUUCAAGAUUUUCAAGGAUGUGUUUGAAAAUCAUCCCUAAAAUUCUUUAAGAAAGAUGGUAAGUAAGUAGAAACCUUUGGGAAUGAAAAAGAAAAGGAAGAAGUAUACCGUGAAGGCGCAAUUAUUUUUGGGAGGUCUAACAAGAUGAAACCCUUUUUACUUUGCUCGGAUUUCUCAUUUUCUCUUUUUGUUUUUAUUUGUAUUUGUUCUGUAGUUGCCAACUUGGUGCUUCUAGUUGGACAGUUGGUAGCGAUGUGCCUAAAACCUAAACAUUUAAAAUAUUUCAUAUUGGAAGUUUUGGUUGGUGACUUAGUGGUAGAGGUGAAAAGGUGGUCUUUAGAAACUUUUUGGUGUGUAGUGAUUUCUUUUGAAGAAUGGGAAGGAGAAGUUUUUGUAUAAAUGUUGUUUGAAUCCUUCCUUGAAGUUUUGUAGAAGCCAUCACUAUUAGUAUUUUUGAAAGUUGUUUUCUUCGAAAUUUGUGAUUCCACCUUGAUGGCUAGGUGAACCAACUUCUUUAAAUAAGAGUACUCAUAUACUUCUAACACAUCUCAAAUUUCUCGCCUCAAACCACUCACAAACAUAGUUAUCUUUGACUCAUCACUAUUAUGCAUAUUAAUUUUAGUCAAAGUUUUUUCUAAAUUCUUAAAAUAUUACUUUACCGUCCUAGGUCCUUGAUGAAGUCGUUGGAGCUUCAACAAGUGUUCCUUCCUAUAAGAAGGAACAAACUGCGCGCGCAUACAUGCUUUCAAAUCAUACCAAGAGACCACGGUUGAUGUGAGUUGAUUAGGAGAUGAUUUAUUAUGUGACACUUUUAAGAAUUAGAAUCAAGAUUCUCAAGCAAUUCAAGAACACAAAUCAAGAACAAAUAACCGAAUUGAAUCUAAGAUAUAAACACACUAAACCGAAUGAAAACCCAUGAUAAGGAAAAUGAACCGAUUGAAACUCCAUUAAGGACACAUGAAUCGGUUAGAAAUAUCAAACAAGCAAAUCUACCGAUUGAAAUGAAGAACAACACAACACAAACCAAUUAGAAUCAAGAAUUUACAACUGUACCGACCAGUCCUCGGAAGUCGUUGACUGCUAGUAAUGGUGGUCCACGUAAGUUGGGUCCCACAAGCGGCAUGGGCCAGUGUCUCGCAAGCGACGCAAGCCAAGGUGCCGAAGAGGGGUCAGACGUCGAUCACCAGGAUGUGCUGAUGUGUCCUCGACAACAGAGUGAGGGCGAUGUGACAUCGGGCAUUGGUGAGUCAAACAGCAGAGCUGAGCCACGAGAGGUGGAUCCCAAACAACACACCAGUUAUCUGUAGGGAGAAGCCUACAUCACGAGGGGUCCAUGCGUGUGGUGUGAGUAGCGCACUCAGGCAUAGAAAAAGUAAAGAACCACUGGAUGCGUUUAGGCCCAUGAGUGAAAACAGCAGAAACCUUAGACUAUAAAAAGGGUAGUAAGAAACCUAACAAGGUACGCAAUAUUUAUGCGAUACACACACAGUUUACACAGAGCUUUUACAGCUAAGAGUUUUGGUGUUUCCUAGCCCAAAUAUUGACUUGAGUGUCAGAGUGCAAACGGUCUCUAGGGCGCCCCUUUGUCUUUGCAGGUACAGGGUGUUUGAUCGAAGGAAAGCACGAACCUAGACAGAGAGAAUUGGGCGUGUGAUCGUUGUUGGAAUACGAAGGCAAUCGAGUCAACCGGCAGGAACAACAACAUUUAACCGUUUAAAGAUGAAGAACAAUGAACAAGACAUGUUUUAGAGUUUGAUAUGGAUUGGACAUGGAAGAAGAAGAUGAAAAGGUUGGAAAAACUUAUGUGGUUGAUGCAAGGGAAGAUGAACAUGCCACUUGGAAGGUGAAUAGGCUCCAAGAUGAGUGAAGGUUGCCGCCACUUAAGAGCUCCCAAAGACUCACAAGAUAAGACUAGGAGAAGGAGAACAAGUCUCACAAAAUCUCUCUCAAUUUGAGAAGAGUAACUUUACUUUCAAAAUUCAAUAUCAAUCUAUCUUUUACAAGAGCCAAGCACCUCUAUAUAUAGUGUAGAGGGCAGUCAUUCAAGGAAAAAGUGGGAAGAAGGCAAAUGAAAAGGCAUUUGAGAAUGCCACCCAAACAAGACACAUGCUCCAUGGAAAAGUGUGACUUUUCUACUACUUCAUAAGUCCUAUACUCUUAUUCAUACUUUCCCUUUUAUGUUCUAUUUUAAAUUCACUCUAAAAGAAUUUACAAAGAGACAUUAAUUGAAGCUCAUGGGCUUAUGCUUUUGUUGGAUUUGGCCUCAAUGUUAAGAGCACUAAUACGAAGAACUUCAAAUGUUUUGCUCCUUGACUAUUUCUCCUAUUGAUGACAUCUUUAUUUGCUUGUUGAGAUGACCCUUCAAGUUUAACAUCCUUGGUCAUCUUCAUGUAUUUUUGGGUCACAUCAACGGUUGGCCUUUUGUUUAGCCCAAUGUCCAUUACAGUUUGUUGCCACCAUUGGUUGGCAUAGUCUAAAAAAACCAGGGAAGCUAACCUAACCUUUUGGUCCUCGGUGACUGUCGCGGAAGACUCGAACGAAGAAAGAAGAUUGAAUCUAGAUUUACUGGAUGAGGUCAGGGAGGAGGCAAGAGUAAAGGCCGAGGCAGUAAAAAGGAGGAUUGAGCGAAGGUAUAACUCUAAGGUAAUGCCAAGGCAGUUUAAAGAGGGCGACCUGGUGAUGAGGAAGGCCCAUCAGUACGAGAUGGAGAACAAGUUAUCGCCAAAGUGGACGGGACCGUUCAGAAUAACCGAGGUGCUCGGGAACGGCGCCUACCGCUUAGAGACGUUAGAAGGAGGGGCGAUUCCUCGCACCUGGAACGCCACACACCUCAACUUAUGUUACAGUUAAAGCUUUGUAAGUAAAGACGAACAUGAAGAGAUUUACAUGCUUUCUGUUAAAACAGUUUGAAAGGGGGUGCUCUUUUUUCCCUAAGGAGGGUUUUUAAUGAGGCCACCCAAUAAAGCAGAGUUUUCAAGCUUAAGUUUUCUGAGAUUGCAUGCCUUUUGUUUUGAAAGUUUUUAGAAAAAAGACCUUAUCACUCGUACGUGAUUUAAGGAAAGAUCGAAGUUAUGCUGCAUGCUUUCUAGUAAAAGUUUUAAAGUCCCCAUCAUCUUUCGGCGAUCGGUGGCAUCAGUAAAAGUUUUAAAGUCCUCAUCGUCUUUCGGCGAUCGGAGGCUCCAGUGAUGAUUAAAGACCUCGACGCUCUCGUGCGUCUUGAGGCAAGAAGAGAAAAAGUCCUCCUUGCCUUUGAGCAAGUGCAGGCAAGAAGAAGUCCUCCUUGCCUUUGAGCAAGUGCAGGCAAGAAGAAGUCCUCCUUGCCUUUGAGCAAGUGCAGGCAAGAAGAAGUCCUCCUUGCCUUUGAGCAAGUGCAGGCAAGAAGAAGUCCUCCUUGCCUUUGAGCAAGUGCAGGCAAGAAGAAGUCCUCUUCGCCUUUGAGCGAGUGCAGGCGAGAAAGAGAAAAAGUCCUUCUCACCUUAGAGUGAGUUCAGGCAAGAAAAAGUCUUUCUCACCUUAGACUGAGUUCAGGCAAGAUGAACUGAAAAGUCAGGGGUGUUCGUGACCUUAAACGGUGGGAAGGGAAGGAAAACGCCUUUUCCCCUUUAAGUGAAACAUCAAUAUUGACCCAGUAAAACCAGAUCAUUGUUUUGUGACUCAGGGAGGUAGAGGAGGAUCCGAUAGGUGCCUCUACCCCCAGAUGAGGGAACAAUGGUCAAGGUUAUGAAGGUAAGAAAGGUCACAUCGCCAGAACCUUACGGCGAUGAGAAGAAUUCCAGGCGAUGACAGGAGUAAGGACUCACGUUGCUGGGCAGAUCAGGUAAACUGUGUUUUAGUGCUAGUUUGAGUUGGAACCUGCUGCCUAGUAAGUAACUAUUAUGUUAAGGUUUGUUGCCUUGAGUUCGCAAGUUAUAUUACAUGUCGUCGCAUGUCGUCGCUUGAAAGUUAAUAGUUGCUCAAGUUUACUUUGAGUUAAUAGUUUGAUAAAUUGUUAUGAGAUUAACAGUUUAAUCAAGUUCAAAGCAGUGUGUGAAUAGUUAAGCCUGAAGCAUCGUUGAGUGAAGUCGUUUGAGUAAGUUUCACCAGUUAUGUUGAUUAACCACACAACGGGUAAGAGGCAUUUAAAGCGAAGUAUCAGAAAACAACUGUUCAACAAUGAAAGUUAUACAAGAAGUGGCUGUUCGAGUUUGUAUACAAAUGUAAAUAGUUACAUAAGCAGUAAAAUUACAGACGAAGUUUUUAACAAAAACAAGGUGAUGGAGGGCGGCAGCUAGUCUUCAGAAGGCACGAUCUUCCCAUCCACCACCUCGUUGCAGAUUGACACCAUGGAGAGGUCGAGCUCGGGGUAUUGGCAUGCUACUUGCUCCAGGGCGGCGUCAAACCCGGCGGUGAGGACUUGGGCAGUGCUCUGCUCGAGCUCUUGUGUUUGUUUCUUCAGCUUUUCGGUUUCCUCGCGAGCUCGAGCAAGGUCUUCAGCAACCUUUUUGCCUUCGUCCCGAGCCUGGGCCAACUCUGCAGCAAUCUUUGAGGCCUCCUCUCGAGAUUUGGCGAGCUCAGCAAUGGCAUCGUCCCUUUCCUUUUCAACCUUCCCAAGGAGCACCUCCCGAUCUGCUGACCUUUUCUCAAGGUUUUCCACCUUGGUCCCAUCCGCCUUCUGUGCAGCCUCCAAGUCCGCCACCUUGAGCCUGUAAGGGACAAGCUUGCUUUCCAAGUCGAUCUUCUCUUGGACUUGAAGAUGCAGUUUCUGGCACAGGUCGGAAGCCUCUUUGUGCGUGCUUCUUAGCUCGGCGUCCAUGGCGUCCUCCAGCCUUGAAUGGUCGAUCUCCGCCAUCAUCAGGUUGCAAGAAAGCUUUUCUGCCUCGAUCCUUAUCAGGCGGUUUGACUCCUUCAGCGCAGAGUUUUCCUCUUGAAGCUUCUUGAGUGAGUCCUUCACAGCUCUUGAUACAAUCGAAGGAAGAUCCUCCGCCAUCAUCUUCAGUCGGGCUGUGAAGGGUCCCAAGAUCUCUUCGAAGGAGGUUGGGAGGUUUGAAGUUGUUGCUGGAGGUGUUGUGGGGGUUUGGUGCUGACUUUCACCACCACCCUCUUGAGUUGGUAGGGCAAGCGGGGCUUCUUGCCGUGGUGGUGAGGUCAGAGAUUCUGUUAUCAAAAUUGGCGAGAUCUGAGCACCCUCAUCUCCUCCUGGUGCGGCCCCAGCAAUAGAAGUGGUGGAAGGAGGACCCUCUCCAACAGAUACGAAUGGUGUGGAGGCGCUUGGAGGGUUCUCUAUGAAGUUUGGGUCGCUGCUUUCGACCACUGGGGGUGCGGCGGCCAAGGGCGUCGCUUGGACUGGUGGUAGUGGAGCUGGAGGUGAGGGCGGUGUUGGUGUUGGAAGCGCAGGCGGUGUAGAGGUGGCCACCCUUUUCCUUUUGGUAACAAGGCCAUCCUCAGUUUCUUCAUCAUCCUCUUCGUCCUCCUGUACCACCUGAGGAGUCUUCCUCUUGGGUUUCCUCAGAACCAGCUUCUUCCUUUGGGGGGCGGGUAGAGCCCCCGAAGGAGUUGGACCUUGGGGAGGAGUCUUGCCUUGAGCAGCCGCGAUCUCCACCACCAAGUUGGGCACGGUUUGGGAGCCCGCCGCAAGCUUGUGAGAUCGGGCGAUCGCCCUCAGUUCCGCUAGCUUUCCUUUUCCCAGCAUGUUAUCUGCACAAGGUAAAGAACAGAUGAGCAACCAAAACAGAAGCAAAGGACACAGGUAUAUUCAUGCAGAGGUAACACAAGCAAUACAUGGAUAAAAGAUCAGAGUCAACACAGAAUAAUAGAAUGACAAAGUAGAGUGGUGAAGACGCUAAGUUAGUAUUAACUCGAAGUGAAGGACUUGGUGUGGAGGUAGGAGCUAACCUAUGUGUAUUUCGAGUUGGCUCUCGAAGAACUCGUAGGGAAUGAUUGAGGCGGUAGGGAAGGUGAUGUUGGCGGCAGCUACACUCUUCCAAAAGAGGCUAAGGUCCUUGUCCAACUCCCCCAUGUUGUCAGGGCUCCUUGGUCUUCUGAAGCUGUCCUUAGAGUCCUUGUCCCCCUUGUGUACCCAAUACAAGGGGAAGCCGUCGAGCAGUGAGGGGUCUUGGUCAUUUUGGCACACCCUCACGAACUUCCCCUUCCAGUCUUUGUAAGACUGCUGGAAGAUUGAGAAGGUGGAUCUCCCAGCAAUCCCGUUCAAGCUGACCCAGAGGCGAUCUCCAGGAUUCUUUGCCUCAAACAGGAAGAGGAAGACGUCGACUGAGGCCGGAAGCAGCAGGUGCGCACAAAGAAUUUGGAACGCCCUUAUAAACGCCCAGUUGUUGGGAUGAAGCUGGGCGGGGGCGAUAUUGAGCUCGGUUAGCAGCUCUCUUUCGAAGCGGGUAAAAGGAAGCCUAAGCUUCACCUUCUUGAACAAAGUGGUGUAGAUGAAGCAGAACAAACCGCCGUUGUUCCCCUUAUCAUCCGCGCAAACCGGUUCACCCGGGAAGCAGGGCAGCACGACCACUUUGCUAUCAUGCUCUUUAUGGAAGGAAAGGUCGGGCUGGUCUCCUUUCCUCAGCCGGUGCACGCCCAACUCAGUGUUUAUUGAUGAGGUCUCUUUCAGCAGAGUUGGGGUGGCCCAAGGGUAGAGUUCUUUAUAGUCUCGUGGAGGAAGGGAGGCUCCACCGGCGACUGGUGGGGUUGCCUGAGUAGGGGUGGCGUGAGAAGAGGUAGGCCUCUUAGCCUGAUUAGAAGGAGCACCAGAGGCUCGUGGUGGGUUGCGCGUUGGUGGAGGAUUUGCCCAGGGGCAACCCUACGUGUUUUGGGUGGAGGGUUUCGCGGCGAAGGAGGGGGGUUAGCGGUGGACUUCGUGUGAGCCAUCGCAGGAACUGCAAAGGAAAGAGAAAGGGAUGAAAUGAGGAUAGCAGAGAAUGACUCGAUUGAGGACGAAGAAGACGGAACGAGCGAACAAGGGUUCGCUGGGAUAAAUGUUAGGGAAGACGAAGCCCUAGGUUACGAGAAAAAGAGAAAACAGCCCACAACGUAUGCUUCAGACAGAUAAUGGAUGAUGCAAACCGAUUAAAAUGCAGCAAGUAUCCAUGGAAGGAGUAAAAGGGUUACCUUUUUUUGAUCGGAUGAGCGUUGAAGAAAGUUGAAGAUUGAGAGAGACGAGAAUCUUCGUGGUUCGCAAAGAGAAUGUUUGGAGUGUUUGAGAAUGAAGGAAGAUGAUGGAACAGUGAGAAGCGCGAAAGGGUUUAAGGGUUUUCGAAUGUUUUCGGAAGCGCAAACGUCAAUUGAAGACAACCGUUGAUGAAGCCACGUGUCGUGUGAUUGAAAAAGGGGUUUGGUGGAGCGUCAGAAAGGCAGAGAGUACGAACGUAUGGAAAUCCGUACCAGCGCCACGUAGAUCGACGAUGAUGUGACUUCUUAGUCUUUUCGCUAGACAAGUCUCAGCUUAAGACUGGGGGGCUUGUGUACCGAUCAGGUAAUCGGAAGUGAUGACGUGGCAGCAAGCGAUAAUAUAGGCGUGUAGAACGGGACACCUGGCUGAUAGAAGGGAAGCACAUCGGGAAGUUUGUGUAGUCGCCAGUUGUCAGCUUGGCGUUCUCCGAUCUCUAGUAUGUAUAACCGGCGGUCACCAGGCUCGCGUCAUAGUCGCCGUAUGUGAGUUUUAGGCGAUCAAGUGGUUAGAGACCGCCGAAAGGGGCACAUCGCCGAGAGAUCAGCAAGGCUUGCUUAAGGCCUUUAAGGGGUACUAGUACGAAAGGCGAAGUUAUCAGAUGAUCAUUCCCUAGCCAGAGGUUGAGGCAAGGGAACAGUUUACCAGAACAUUCAUGAUGUACAAGUGAAGCAGAUCGUGAUAGCGGCAGGCGAGACCAUAGAGAAGGUGUGCAUGGUGGCACCCUGUACUCGCCGCUUGAAGGGGUCGCGCUCCAAGGAAGCUAUGCACCAAGUUGCCCCUUUGCAUGGGUAACUUAGUCGAAUAGCUGGAAGAGUAGAGGUGACGCUCAAGUAGAAGGGGGCUCCAGAUGGUGACACGUGUACAGCUGGAUGCGAGCCACGUGUCCAGAGGUGUAACCGUCAGGAGAGAGAAAAUGCUCAGGUAUAUAAGGAACUCUUAACAGAUUUUGAGGUACGUUUUUCAGAACACUUGAGUACGUUGAGAGAAUACUUGCACGGUUCCUUGAGUUCAGAUUUUCU